CCCUUAGAUGCUCUGGGCCGCACGCGCGCUACACUGGUCGAUGCAACGAGUUUCUUUCCUUGGCCGACAGGCCUGGGCAAUCUUUGAACAUCGAUCGUGAUCGGGAUAGAUUCUUGAAAUUUUUGAUCUUAAACGAGGAAUUCCUAGUAAACGCAAGUCAUCAGCUUGCAUUGAUUACGUCCCUGCCCUUUGUACACACCGCCCGUCGCACCUACCGAUUGAAUGGUCCGGUGAAAUCUCCGGACUGGCGUGAGUCGGAGCAAUCUGACAAACACCGGAAAGUUGAUUAAACCUUACCAUUUAGAGGAAGGUGAAGUCGUAACA
rnacentral:rRNA from 1 species